GACUAAUACGGCUGCUACUCUGAAAUCUGCCAUUUUGUUACCCAGUUUUGUGAGAUCCCUUUGUAAUGCUUCACAGUCUGCUUUGGAUUUCACUAUCUUGAGUAAUUUUGUAUUGUCGGAAAAUGUUGCCACCUCCCUGUCUACCCCUUGACCGUUCCUGGACCCUAUCUUUGGCACCUAUUGUUUGGGCUCAAUGCUAUGACCAGAAGACUCCCACUGAUUGAAUUUGAGUUGAGUCAUGUUGUCCUGUAGCUCCCACUUACGAUCCUUGUAAAAAUGUCUGCAGCACAGCUGAUGUCUGUGAAUGCGGUUAUGUAAGUACCUGACAUCAUGUGACUCAGUACGGCAAGGUAAGCCCAUACUAAUGUUUGAGGGGUUAGCUGAAGUUGACUGAUUAAUUGUAAAAUGUCUCAGUCUCUCUACAGGUAAGAGAGGGUUACUCACCAUGUGUAGUAACUGAGGUUCUUCAAGAUGUGUCCCCCUGUAGGUUCCCCACUUUAGGUGCAAGGGCUCCCUGCGCUGUUGAUAGGAGUUUUUGGUAGCAGUGCUUGGUCAGGAUACACAUCCACAGCAGUCAUCUCACGGUGCUGUUGGCACCUCAUCUAGCACACGCACGACCUGAGCCCUUCAGUUCCUUCUCAACUGUCCUCGGCCUGAGACGGAGCUCUGUGGCAGUGCUCACUUUUCUCCUACCUAGAAAAAUAUUGUAAUAGAAAUAGUUUAGUAAGUUUUCAUUCAGUUAGUCUUAGACUCUCUGAUCAACAUCCCAAGGACACACAGACACCUAAAACGGAGCAUCUCCAGUAACAUCACCUGAAGUAGUAUGCCCUUGCAGUGAUUGAAUCCGGUCUCAAUUCAAUGAAUUCCAUCUUCUGUGUCAGGGCUAAAAUGGACUUUUGCUAUGUUUAAUCUGAGGCUGAGAUGUUGAAAGAUACCUCACCAUGUGUGUGGCAUCUUGUAUGCUCUGGUAUGAUUGACCUUUGAUGAGCCAGUUGUCCAGAUAAGCAAGACUGCAAUGCCCUGAGCUCAUAGAUGGGCUACCACAACCAUUAACUCCUUAAUGAAUACACUCAGUACUGUCAAUAGUCCAAACGGAAGCAUCCUAUAUUGAUGAUGGUCUAUAUCUAUGACAAAUCUCAGGAAUCUCCUGUGUGUUGAAUGAAUGUCUUUAUGAAAAUAGCAUUUUUGAUAUCAAGAGUUGUAAACCAGUUGCCUUGAUCCCGGGAUGGGAUUAUUGCAGAGUGGGUGACCAUCCUGAACUUCAGAUUUUGAAUGUAGGAGUUUAGUAGCCUUAGGUCCAGGAUAAGCCUUUUGUCUUUGGGAUGAGGAACUGUCUUGAACAGAAGCCUCUCUAGAUAUGCUGAGUGGGGACUGGUUCUGUAGCUCCUGGGUCUGGAAGUGAUUCCACCUUUUGUGUAAGAACCUUCUCUUAGAAGGUCCCAUGCUGAUUUUCCCCAUUCUAUUUGGCACCAUCUGUGUGUUCAGCUUGGUCAGAGUGCUGGCCCCUUAGCAGUACUGGCUGUACUUGUCAUCACCUGGGACACAAGGCCUCCAAAGUUUUGGAGUGGGAUGUAGAUAGUCCUUUUCUCUUUGAAGACAAUGACUUGGAGAGAGAUCUAUCCUUCUCAUUUUGGGGGUGGGGUGUGAGGGGAAUGUAUAGAUCCUAUGUCCUCACUCUUUCCCAGCUUCUUACCGGAAUCUAAGUGCUUGAUGUUGAAGGCUCUGGAACUAACUGAAGCUGACCUCAACAGGCCACUCCUGGAUUCCUAAGACCAAUGUACAGGGGGGGAUCCCCUGGGUCUGGAUCAGUCUUUGCUCUUAUGGUUCUAUCCACGAGGAACAUUUCAGACAGACCUCCCUCUCCUGUCUGGUCCAUCACUAAAAGGAAUGGCAGAUGCUGCACUUGGAGGUGAUGUCAGUCUCUCUGACGUAGUAUAAAACAGUGUCGUGCUUGUCAUUGAAAGGCAGUGUCCUCAGACAGAUCCCACAGUUUUUGAAACCAAGAGCCUUGGGUGUAAUCUAGAGGCUCCUGGUGGCAGGAAGCAGGAGGGAGACAGGGGAUAUAACCCCCAUACCUGAGACCCCUCUACCAAACUAAACUAUUUCUAAAUACAUAAUAAAUAAAUACUAAAUACGUACAAGAAGAAAGGAGCUAUCCAAGAGUACAGCUAGGUGUGGACAUGAGCACUCUGUCUCAGGCCAAAGGUGUGAGAAGGAACUGGAGUGACAGUUGGCCAGCAACAGACAGUGCUACCAAAAACCUUUCAGUCUCAGGUUUGUUGACCACAUGUGCUACCAGAAGUGGAAUACGCAUAGGAACAAGCACUCUUUGAAACGAUAGUCUAUCAUGUAGCAAUACUUAAAUUUUGUACUUAAAUGGCUACCAUCCAUUUCAGGUGGUUUCUUUUCUUGUUUUCUUUUUUUGUUUGUUUGUGUGUUUUAUUAUGAUGAUAUCCAUGUUCCUUAAAAAAUCAAUGCAUGUUUUUAAAAUGUUACUGUACUUUCCUUAGACUGUGGGUUGCUCAGAUAUCAGAGUUCAUAAAACUGAAUGAAAGCACCUUGUACUCAUUCAAUCCACAGGUCAAUCUGAAACUAGUGUAAUAUGUAGGCAAGAGGGGUGAUAGGUUGAUGUUUCUUGGAAAAAUGAUUAGUAGUAGAAUUUGUGAGGAAUUCUAGUGUUCCCAAAGUUCUUCCUACGAAGCCAGCUGUAAUCAUCCAAAUUGGAUCGAAAUCAGGCAUACAAAUACUAAGGAGAUGAAGUAACAUAAUAAAGCAAUGAAUCUCAUCUCAGAUUGGGGUGGAGUACCCUUGAUGACAGAUCAGCAUCAAAGUGCACCCUUGAGCCAGUAUGACACAUAACUUCCUGUCAGUUGGACUAAUGGUGACUUAAGUCACCAAGGUCUACUUGUCAGUCAAUCACAUCUAAUGUAAUUUUGAUAAUAUAAGUAUUGCCAGAAAAGUUGCAGAGACCUGGGUACCCAUUUAUGAAUUUCAGGCAGUCAGUCAUAUAGGCAGAAAAUAGAAACGAAUUAUGAUGAAAUAUAAUUUUUCUGGACUGUACCAUCAAAACAAAAUUUUACACACUGCUACAAAGUAAAUUUCCCAGUUCUUAUAUAGGUCAGAAAAACUAGAAUAGAGGCUGUGGUGAGCCAAAAUGUAAUAGAUUUUAAGUCUACACUUGAGGUGAAAUGUGAUCAUCAUCAAAAGCUAGGAAACACGGAUGAAGGCAAAGUAGUGCCACGAAUUCCAACAAUCAACUCUGUAUGGACCAUAAAAAUCCCAUUGUAUACGGCUAAAAUGCAUGAGAACAAGGGAUACCAAUAAAGAAGGUCAACUAAAGUCCUAGCUCUACAAAUGCUCAUUUUGCACAUGAACACUGUGUCAAAGCCAGAUAAAAAGGUUUAACUAGAAUAAUAAUCAAGCAGACAUUUUGACUUCCAAUUGGACAUAGUGUAUAUACUGUGGUCACCAUUUCCCAGUACAUAGGCCUCACAGAUGGGGAAAGUGGGAAAAUGAGAAUACAGAACUUUAAAACAAACAACAACAGUCAAGAAGAAAGCAAACAAUUUUUCAAGUUGUUUAGCUUCUGAAAUAUACUGUGAGCAAGUGCCAUAUCUCCUUUUCAACUAAAAAUAUUGAAAUGCAGUUUUUAAAUUUUUGACAAAAGCAAGGGCCUAAUUUUUUAAAAGAUCUGGCCCUAUUUAUAUGUAUGCUUAAUUUGCAUGUGUAAUUAACAUUACUAUGUACACAAAUUAGGUAUUUGUAUGUGCAAAUGAAUAAGUGGCCAUUCUCCCAGAUAUGCAUAUGCGCAGAUAACUCAGCAUUACGAGCACCAGAAUGCAACUUUUGGAAGACAGGUCCUAAAUAAGUUUUAUUUCAAACAAAAUAUUUUUUAAUUUGCUGUAAUUAUAGGCUUGCAGUAAUUAUUUGAAUUAGCAUUAGCCUGCAGAUCUCCAUUCUCUCUUAUGUGAUUUUAUAUAUCCCAAUUUCAAGAAGUAGGCUAUGUUUACGGAAGCUGUUUACUUAAGGAUGAGUGAGGUGUGUGGUUUGUUUGUUUUGGUUUUUUUGAUUUUUUAGAUGAGUGGCGCAAGCUACAUAAAAGUUGACAUUUUCCUCCUGCUGUGUGAAGGUGAUAUAUAUGGAUUACAGUUGGCUUUGGUGCAUUUUUAUAGUGUUGUUUGAAUAUAAACUAUACAACAGUUUCCAUUUUAUUUUUCAUUCUAAUCUUAUUACUUCAUUGUUAAAAAUGAAAUGUGCAGUGUUCAGGGUGUACAGAGCUGAGUUUGUAGGCCAAUGCAGAUUUUAUAUUCUAAGUGGCAGCACCAUCAAGCACAGUUCAGGCUGUUUUGGCAACUCCAGCCCUAAAUAAAAAGGUCACAUCUAUCUAUGUAAAGUGUCUCCAUACUAAUGUCAAACAUAGUCUAACUGAAAAUGUUAAAAUAGUGAUGUAGACAGAAAAGUGAUAGCACUCAGGCACAAAACGAUAAAUGUGAUUUACAGAAAUAAUGUUAAGGGUAAAUGUAUCUUGGUUUAAGCUUAUGUCACAUUACAUCAGGAAUGUUCAGAGAAUGAGAGUCAUAACUUUCUACCUAGUGCAACUAUCAUCAUGUUGUGUAGACACUUGAAUUGUGAAUAAACUUCUCUUCAUGAACUAACUGUGACUAGGAGACAGAUUAUGUACAGUAUCGUGUGUCCUUAGCUCCUUGUGGUCUACACAUGGUUAUGCUUAUAAAUUCAUACCGAACAAACUGGUAUAUCCAUUCCCUUAUCUCCAUAUAAAGGAGCAGCAUAAAAGUUUAUGGUGCCCCUCUUGGAUUAUGUUACUUUAAAUGGCCCUCUUUAUAUAACUUUUAUUUUGGGAGCUUUUGACCCUCCAAAUCACCUUUAUGAUUUUCCUAGCCUGUAUCUUAAUGACAGCUUCCAGGGCCCUUCAACUCCAUGUUUUCCUUUCCUCAUUUUCAUGGAGAUUUGUCUUGUUUUGUUUCCAAAAGCAUAAACAGGUAUAAUUAAGUGCAAUGAACUGUGUGAUGGGACAUUCUUUGCAAAGCCUUUACAAUACACUUUCCCUUGCAGAGUUAUUCAGCUAGUUCAUAUAAGAGCACUGUUUUCACACCUGUGCCUAAUCUGAAUAAUUUGUGUGGCUACUGCGCUCUCCAGACAGACUGGCAAGUCUUCCAAUCUAGAAACUGUUAUGGACAUAUUGCAGCAUUUGGAGGAAGGAGAGGUUAUUCCUAUCUGGGGAAGUUUGAAAUCUACCAAUUAAGACUAUUAUUAAGGGUACAUAUAUCUGAAGUAGCUCUUAGUUGUAGUAAUUAAGUACUUGACCUCAGUGAAUCAACUGAAAAACUGCAGUAGUGCAUAGAGGUUCCUUAAUAAUUUCCUGUCUUCUUCUCCUCUCUUUUAUCUCUGAUAAUCUGCUGAGCAACAAUCCAAGAGAAUCUUCCACUGCCCUGUUGAAUUUGCCAAAAUCAGAUUGGCCAGGUAUAGAAAUCACCUCUAUAACUUUCUUUGGAUACACAAAAUGCUAAUAAAAAACAAAUGAAUUUAGUGUAUGUGAAAGACUCAAGUCUGACAACCCUGUAAGCUAGGGUUCUCCAGUUAGAGGUGCAAGAUGGAUUUUUAAAAAACUGAUAAAAAUCAAGCUUUCUAGUUUUAAAUUCUCAUUUAUUUCAUUGAUAAACUUUUAAAGCUUCUCCAUAAUAUCAUGUAUGGUGAUUUAUUUCAUAUGUAUUCCUACAUCCAAAUGUAGGAAACGGAAUGAACAAUAGUGGUUACCAAUCUGAUUGUGGUAUGACUCAUAAUAUUUCAGUAAUUUGUCAUAACGAUGUAUAUUAUUUUAUCCGGUGCCUGAAGCUACAAAGUGAACUUAAAUUUAGCUUGGGGAUCUGUUAGAGAAUUGCAGUGGUUUGCAUUACAUGAAAAGUUUUACAUCAUAAAACAUAAUGCUUUGCUGCUUGCAUAAGCAUUUGUUUGGCAAACCUCUAUGGAAAUUUCUGUAAGUCGUUUUAUUGCACUAUUACCUUGUUUCAGCAUACAGUAUUGCGCUAUUGUCUUGUUUCAGCAAAGUACUCCCCAUCUAAACCACAGUUUAUAUGUUCAUACUUUUUUUCUGGGUAAAAGUUCUGUAUCUGUUAUCGACAUACACUGACCUUUCAUCUCAAUUUCAGUAAAAUCUCUAUUCCAGUCUCUACAUUUGGAUCAGCAUCUAUGGCCAUGCCACAUUGACUCGGUAACAUUCUCAGUAUGUGUUUAAAUCAUGCACACAAACUAAUUUUAAACAAUAUAGGCACAAAUUCCACUCUUUCCUCUUCUCUUUGAAUGAGAUGAAUCUCUAGUUGGAUUUGAUUUUCAUACAAAUCUAGAUGGCAAAAUUUCCAUUUGUAUCAGCCUAGCUAUGUGGAAAAGACACUAAUCUGUUUCUAUUCUUCAUCUGUCUGCUGCUUUUGCCAUCAUUAAUCUCUAAUCUUCUCUUACACUUACUCUGUUCUCUCAGCUUUCCAAGUUCCACUCCUAACUUUCUGACUGCACCUUCAGCAUGUCCCCAUCCUUCUCUCCCCCUUUAAGGGUGAAGUUGACCCCUAUACGGAGGACUGGUCCCACUUAAGUCCUAUUUUAACAUCUUGUGCUGGACUUCUGCUACGGGUGUAUUUCAUCCUAGGUUAAUUUAUCCUGUCCGAUGAUUUCACCCAUUCCUACUAGACAGAUGAUUCUCAAAUCUCUCUUUCUAGCCUUGACCUCUCCCUCUUGUCCAGGGUUCACAACUUUAAAAGCCUUUCUUCUUGGACAGCUGGCCACUGUCUCAAAUUCAGUUUCUCCGUAAGAGAGCAUCUUGUCUCCUUUCAGUUGCCCCUCUUUCCUCUCUCCUAUCAAUGCUAACUUGCUUUAGUCUUGACUCCUCAUUCUUCUUUUCUCCUUACAUCCAAGCUCUUGCUGAGCCCUGUCAUUUUUUUCCUGCACAUUACCAAAUUCCACUCUCUACACCUGCUACCACCUGGGCAACCAUGCACCAGCCCAACACUGGGCACAGUCUAGCUAUAAGUGAUUAGUAAUGAUUUAAAAACUGUGUAUAUAAAAGCAACCUCUAAAAGUACUUGGCUCAGAACCUCGCAUUGUGUAUGUACAAAGCCCAUCAGCCCAUACAGAUACAGUUUGCGUGCAAAAAUGCAUUUCUGCCUGUGCAAACCUUGCAAUCAAAAACUUCCUGCCCAAAAAAUGGCUAUGUAAAAUCUGCUCUGAAAUAUUAGAGGCCAAUUUAUGACCUCUUGGAAGUUCGGGAGCUCAAUCCAGUCUAGCGAUGAGCACUCUGGCCCCAAUCCAGCAUUGCACUUAAGUAGUGCUACUGACUUCAAUAAUUCAAAUCAGUUCCUUAAACUCAAACAUUUUUGUUGCAGCAAAUUGUCUGUGUUUCUAAAACACCAAACGUAAGUCUUUAAUAACUUACAUCACAUGCUUUUUACUACUUCAGAAAAUUGAAGAAAUCUCUCUAUUUAAAGGGACUUAACAGCAAACCAAAUUGCUUUGCUGCUUGAAAAUGCAUACAGCUGCAAAAUUUUCCGAUGUUUAACCCUCUUAGGUUACCAUGCUAAACUCCAGAGUGCAACUUUGCUAACUCCACAAAGAGACAGAUUUUGAAAAAAAUUUUAGAAAUAAAACCAAGCUAAUUACUUUUACUAAGAUAAGAUUUAGGAAGUACAGUAUUAAUUUCACUACUGCCUCCUGUAAUAUUAUUAGGUUUCCCUGGUGAGAAUAAUAAAUUAAUAUGAGCAUUAAAUGGAGUUUAGGUACCUAAUAGAGUAAGUACAAAAAAAAGGAAGACGAACAAGACAUCCUGGGGUGCAUUUUAUAUUAAGGCUAAUAACUAAAAUUUCCCAAAAGACAGCGUAUUUUAUGUAAGAAAAAUAAGUUGUGUAGGGUAGCAUCAUUGUAUGUUGGACAAAUUAUAAAUAUGAUGAGAUAUUCUAAUCGCAUUGCUAUAGUACUUCCGUGUAUUAGAUCACUUCCAGCAGGCUAUAGACAGCACUGUGAUAGAAGAAAUACCAAUAUUGAAGGUAAAUAGGAAUAUAUGAGAUUCAUCCUUGCCCUGAUACACAAAUAAAUUCCAUCAACAUUAUGCACACUUUGAUGAGACAGUAAGAUACCUCAAGGUCCCUGAAAAUGCAGAUUUGAUAGCCCAUUCAUUCUCCAGCUACCUCAGGACUGUCUGUCUGUCUUUUGAAUAGAAAUCUGAUCUCAUUUCUUUACCACAUUCUGUUCCUUAUAUCCCACUGACUAUUAUUUUUCUCUCCAGUAAAAGUUCCUCAAACUAUAUUUGACAAAUUUCAGACUCUAACUUAAAAAACAAAAACAAAAAACCUUGUACAUUUAGAACAUACUAAUGAUGUACAAAAAACAAAACUGUAAGACUAAUGAUAGAUCAAAGCCUGCCCUUUAGAGAAGAGCAGCAUUCAAACUUACUGAUGCACUUAAAACAAUAUGUUUGUUCUAUAUAAUUUAGAAUUUAUGGAAAAUUUAUUAAAUCUACAAAUAUUCAGAUUUUGGAUACCUCAGACUAUUGCUAUUAAGAAUCUCUUAAUUAAAGGUUCACUUUGUUUCUUUAAACAUACUAGAACUAUAUCCUGUACCCUUUUGCAUACUUCUAUUAUAAUUUGUAGGAUUGUAGUUGUUUUCACAACAUAAUAGAAGAAAAACUGAAAUGCAGUUUGGUAAAAUAUCAGUUUUUUCAUAAUAUCUCUAACAACAACUCAUAAUCCCCAUUAGAAAACUAUUAACGUUGUCAUCUAAGUUAUUAUCUGGGCCCUGAUCCUGCAAUUCACUGCACGGGUGGCCUCCUGCACUAGUGGAUUCUCAUUGACUUAAAUAUGAGACUCCAUGCAAGUGCAGGGGUAUGCUCACAUGCUUCUAGUUGCAAGACCUGGGCGUAGGUUUCCUGGCUCACUAUUAUUUCCCACUACAUUUCUUUUAAUUAAUGGCAUGUAGAAAGACACACAGAGAAACAAAUUAUAAUUUGUUUUAGCUUAAUAAUAAUAAUAAAAGACCUUAUUUUAUAUAAGUGAUUACCUGGAUUCAGAUGCUGAAAGGUUGUGUCUAUCCUUGCUCCCUGAAUAUCAAUAACAUCUUGUGAUGGUUUAUCUUUCUAGUUUUAUUUUUAAUGCUAAUAAUCUAUAAAUUACAUAUUAGCUAAAAGAUGCUCACUGUUUUUUAUACACUUAGCUGUCUGUAUGUGUUCAUUUGUGUGGUCUUUUAAAACAGGAGAUGAUAUAUUUAUAUUAUUUACUUCUCUUGUGUAUGAUUUAUUGUUUCAUGCAUUUUGUUCUUUGAAAGAAUGUUGGGGUUUUUUUAUUUCAAAGCUGAAUGAAAAAUAUGAAAAACUCAGUCAGUCAUAUGCUCAAAUGAAAAACAUGUUAUAAGUAAAUAUGUUCUUCUUGUAAUAUUUAGUAAGUAAACAUGCCAGCUCUAUUAACUGUACCCCAGGUAAAGGGGCCAGAGUGGCAUAAAGGUGCCCUAAAAACCCUUUUUGUGGCUGGGAGACAAUUCCCCUAGUGCAGGGGCUGAGGAAGACCAGUGUAAGGCUGCCUUCUGAAAACCCCUAGAAAGCCUAAGGGUAAGAGAUCACACCGAUCUCUUAAAACCAGUGUAACCCCACCCCCACUCUGGGAGCUGCAAGUUCUGUGCUUUGCCUCACGCAUGAGUCACAGUGAAAUUAUUUGUCCAGGCUUAAGCAAUUCAUUGCCAUUAAAAUCCUUUGCAGAAGACAGCCUGAUGUAAGGGUAUCCUUUAAUCCUUCUGAAGUGAGGAGUAUAUUGCUGAAGUUUCAUUGUUGUAUGAUGAUGUAACUUAAUGUGAAGAAAAGGUGUAGCUGGCAGUUUUGAGCAGCAAGCAGAGCCCAAGUCAAGUAAACAAGAGAGAUUCAUGCAUACUCGUUAGUAACACAAUCUGCAGGAGGAGAAGUGGUGCUGGAGAAAUGAAGGUUCCAGCGGAACAGAAACAAAAUAGAGCAGCUAUUAGCCAUGCAAAGAGUAGCAAGGAUGGAUGCUACAGCAAUGGCUAUUGGAGACCAAAAUGAUGUCAAAACACUUCAAGUGAAGACUGUAAAACAAAGGAGCUUUCUUGAUAUAAAUCAGUCUAGUAAGUUUCAGACUGGAAAGUAUUUUGGGAAACCCUCAACCAACAUGAAGCCAGAUGGGAGCAGAGCUAGCGAUGUGAAUGUGUGUGCUGCAAAAGUGACAGGUAUGCCAAGUGCCAAUAUACACACACAGUGUUGGACCCAAAACAGGAUAAAGCAUGUCCUCCUUAGAAGAAUCUCUGCUGGCAAGUGUCACCCAUGAAUUAACCCUGGAUCCAACAUUUUCCUUACAUUUGCAUGUCUGGUUUUUUUUAAGCCACAUUAAAUUUCCACGCUGUACAUAUAUGCCAUUUCCCUAAAAGGUAAGUUGUGAACAUGCAAGAAUUUUCCCCAGCAGGAUUAAGCAUGUGAAGAAGUGGUUGUGAGGGAGAGAGUUACUGAUGUGAAUGCAGCCAACCCACCUGAAGUCAAUGUAGUUGCAUAUGGAUAAUGCAGUAGAACUUGGCCCAACUAAUUUUGAUACUAGACAAAAAUCAUAUAAAAGAUAGAUAUUAAAUGGAGCCAUGAGUAUAAUUCUCCUCGGUGUGAAAGCCUCCUCAAGCCUUUACCCUUCCAUCAUUACCGUAAGCUCAUUUAAGCGACUACGUAGCUUAGAAUAUAACAUAUAUAAAUCAACCAGAUACAGUAUUUCUAACUCACUGUGAAACAUUUCUACUUUCAUGAGAGUAUGUGUAGUCAUUUUGCUGCCACAAUUAUAAUCCAGGAACAGUAUGAAUGUGAUUUAACCAACAUUUAUCAAGCAUAUGAUAGCAUCAUUUCAAUUCAGUUGUAUAUUAUGUUCAUGACAGCAAGAUCUGGCAAAAAUCACCAACAAUCCUAUUCUGUGCAGAUUGUUCCAGCAUGUUUGAUUAAUCAGAAGGGGGAAAGAGCAAUAUAUUAUCUCCAGUAUACAGUUCGCUUAUAGAAUUAGACUCACAAGUACCUAAUACUAAACAGCAGCUGCUGGAAAAAUGCCAUUUCUCCAGAAGAGCUGACCUGAGAGACACUAUCCACCUGCAUCUUCCUUGAAUUUAAUUUUUAUUACUAUUUUUACACAAAAUGAAAUUUAUAGGUCUCUACUGAAAUUCUGGGCCAGUUUUCAGGAAGAUGAACAACAGGAGCCCAGCUGAUGGAGUUCAAAGCAUACAUUGUGGGAAGGGACUUACAGGUGGAAGAGAGAGAGCUGGGAGAGUUUACAGAAAGGCUGUCUGAAUAAGAUGACAUUGUCCUGAAUGUUACUAGAUGACAACUUCAUACUGCUUGGCAGUUCCAGAGCUGUGGCAAAUCCAGGAAUAAAGCCUGUUAAUCUACCUCAUUUCAAGCUGCAAGCAAGUGACAAGCAAAAAGAGAUCAUAAAGUGCAAGAAGGAAGAACUAGCUGGAGUGGAGAGGUCAGAUCUUGCACAUAUUUGGAACUUCCAAUCCUCUCAUGUGGAAGAUUGAUGAAAAUCUGGUGGCUCAAAAUGAUCAGUUAGCUAUUUAAGGAACUUUUCAAAGUCUGAAAACCUGACUGACUAAGGAACUGGUAUUAGUUUGCAUAAUGCAGAUUACAUAAAUGUCAAAGUUAAGGGCCCGAGGGAGUUAGCAAACUACUUCGAAUUUAAAAAAAAAAAGGUCACACAAUAUGUCUAACUUCAACUUCAGUAACAGCUUCUUACACAAUAGCAGUAAAAUACCUUUUGAUUACGUUAUUAAAAUAAGAGACCCCCCCUUUUUGUUUUUUAACCACAAGUGAGUAUUUAUUAAGAAAAGUUGCAUGUUUUGCUUUACAUGUAUUUAUAUGCUGAAAGUUCAAUUAAGAUAAUUUCCUUAACAAAAUGCAGACAGUAAUCAGAGGGAUAGUCAUUCCAGAGCACAUUGAAAAAAUAAGAACUGCUAAAAUCUAAGUAUCAAUUUUAUAACAGCUCACAAGUCCCUUGAGAGGCCUCUUCAAAGUUUAUUUGCUUUUGCUGUGUCAAAGGGAAAAAAAGAGGGAAAAGUACGUGCUGAUAUGAAAACGCACACUUGGGAUGUACUAAGGAGAAUGGUUUGCUGCCAACAGGUAAGAAGAGCUAUGGGAAACCAUUCUCCUCACCAGAAUAACUGACAAACAAAAAUAAUAAAAUAAAUAACACUUCUUCAGGCUCACAGUACAAAAGCCAACAGAUUUUUUCUAUCAUCUAACUUAUUUUUAAAGUGAAAGGUAGUUUAUGCAGGUAGAGAGCUGUAAUUUUCACACCAAAAUACCCUCUACACAAAACAGCUUGGCAGUUGUUUGUUUUAAACUGUUUAACGAUGCAUAGCCUCAAGACAUAGUAUAGCGAGGAUGCAAUGGAUUGGUAACAAAAUGUGGCUUUAAUAAAGUCCAAAUACAAAAAAUAACACUUAUACAACAGCAUUAAUAGCACAUAUUAUACUUAAAUGUGUGUAAUUUGAGGUCAGCAUAUUACUUCCCUCUCACAGGUUAGUAUCCAGAAUUUGUCAGCCUGGAUAUGGUGGGCUGUUUGCUUCAUUCGCACGAGUAGAAGCAUUCCUGAUUGGCUUCCCAAGGGAAAUCCUGUCAUUUUAAAAGUUGCUACUGCACCACCCUGGGAUAGGUAGUAGCUAAAAUAUUCCAGAUGUGCCGAUGUCCCAGCACACGCCAGGCAGACACCUAUUCUUCCUCAGUGAAAGGAGAUGACCUCCUUAGGUUUCCUAACGUCUGGUCAACAUAACAUUUUCACCUCACAUAGUAAAACUGUCACAAACAACACAGCAGAUAUCUUUUUUUUAAAAAAAUCAGUGCUUGCCAAAUGAAACCACGUUGUUGCCUCCUAUAUUAGGUAUACAGGAAAUCUGUGUUUUUUGGGCAAAUGAUGACUUUAAUGAUGAACACUGUAUCCACCACAUAUGCUACGUUAUAAAACUAAUUAUCUUGCUCCCUAUCUUGUAGCCCUCAUUGAUCAAACCCAUUACCAAAAUAUCCCAAACUAGAAGGAAGUUGAAGAACAUGGGCAACAGACAGAGUCAUCACUUAGGCAGUACCUCAAGGCAGCAGCGUACUGUUAAUGACCAGUUACAACAGUCGACAAAUACAUGGCAAUUGCAAAUGCCAUUGUUCAAAAAUAGCUCAUCAGUUAAAGCCCAGAAAAGGGAUCCCAGAUCCAAGGGCCCAAAAAAGAAAGCCUCUGUUGUUGGAUUACAUGUAUCCAUGCCCAAGCUUUCUAGUUGUCAUUGUGGCUUCUAAAAUGCAAGGAUUAGAUGGUACAGAGAUGAUUUCAUACAUGAAUGUACAUUCUCAAUACUAAACACGAUUUUCCAGAUUUUUCCAAAUCCUACACAAAAGUGCAGCCUCCCCCCUACUGAGGUACUCAUUUUAUGUGUCUGUCUAAUCUACCUAGACAGAUGCCUUCACAAGGUGAAAGGCAAGGCUUAAUCUGAUCAUAGAAUCUCAGGGUUGGAAGGGACAUCAGGAAGUCAUCUAGUCCAACCCCCCUGCUCAAAGCAGGGCCAAUCCCCAAUUUUUGCCCCAGAUCCCUAAAUGACCCCCUCAAGGAUUGAACUCACAACCCUGGGUUUAGCAGGCCAAUGCUCAAACCACUGAGCUAUCCACUGCCUUUGGAUGUAAAGUCUCAGCAGCAGACAUAUAAACAAGUCUUGCUUCCAAUGUACAGCGUUUACAUGGGAAUGAAUAUUGAUGUCUCUCGUCUCUUGAAACUGGAGCCUAUGCUGCAUAGAAAAGGGACUUCCUUAUACCUUUAACAGUUUUCUAUAGAGAAAAUAUAAUCUGGAACACUCCCAGAACUGGCUUCUAUUAGGGCCUUCACUUGUUCUAUUCCUGAAAGGCCCUAAAUUGUCCUUUCCCCUGUAAGAAUGUUACCCUUUGCUUGUUUUAUGUACACUCCUGUUGAUUGCUCCUGUUGCACAAAGUUUUGAGGUUUUCUUCAACUGUUGUAUAUAGUAGCUAAGGAACCUGGGGAACCUGCCAAGAAGAGAUCCUAAAGAGAGCUGCUCAAUGGAAAUAAAUUCUAUGAUGGUCAUUCUGUUUGUAGACCGAAGGAACACCAAUCUGUCCAAGUUGUUGUCUCUGCUGAACAGAAAACCAGUCUGGCAGGUAGGGAAAGUCACUUUUCUUGGCUGAACUUCCCCUUCCCCCAUAUACCCUGAUAAGAGGGGGCAAGCAUCAGAUAAAUCCGUACUUAACUAAGUUUGCCUUUAGACUACUUUUUUCUUUUUUUUUUUGUUUGAAUUAUUCCUUUAUUCUAAUCACUUAAAAUUUACCCUCAGAAUCUGCCAAACAUUGCGUAAUUGUGUUAAAGAUCUAAUCUUCCUCCCAUGUCAAUGUAAAUUACAGAAAACAAUAUUAAGCUUAUACUCUAGAGAGUUUUAACCACAAUUUAUGCAAAGAACAUUUCAAAAUUUUCAUAUAACUUAAUAUGAUUAAUUAUAGGUCUAAUACUAUUCAUAAAUUUUCAAGAAAGAAAAAUAAAUACAGAUUUUUAAUGACAGACAUUCAAAAGCAAAACAAUAGCAAGAAGUGGCUCCUUGCUCUUGCAUAAGCCUUUUCAAACUAGCAAAGGUGAUUGUGAUCAGUGUUCAAGGAAGCUGCUUUUAGGAUUUGAUUCUAUGAAAUGUUCAGCACCUCCUGAAGCAUGUGGAGUGCCCUUAACUGCCAAGGACUUAAGCAGACUUCAGGGGGAGUUGAAGGCACUCAGCACCCUGCAAGAUCAUCCCUGGAGCCCUAAUAUUCAAUUCCAGUAAUUCUGUUCUUAGGAAGCCAAUAUAAAGUCUAGGAGUACUUGUGGCACCUGAGAGACUAACAAAUUUACUUGAGCAUAAGCUUUCGUGAGCUACAGCUCACUUCAUCAGAUGCAUUCAGUGGACAUUACAGUGAGGAGAUUUAUAUAC